GUAUGGUUAAAGGGCAAUCAAUCGGAAGAAACCCGGGUGGGCCCUUUCAAAUCCACGCGGGGCUUGAGCACCCUGCCGCCGCCUGUCCUUCCCUCCAUUCCGGAGAACCGGGUCUCGCGGCGGGUGUCGGAAUCCCGGGAGUCCCUCGCGGGCUCGGUUCCGGUUGGGGUCUGUCGAUUGUUGGCCGCUGGCGAACGUUUUCGAAUCAGAUUUCCAGGGGGAAAGUCGGCUCCGGAAGCCGCUGCUCGUCAGCGUGUCUGGGGCCGUGAUCCUCCAUCGGAGGGACCGAUGCGGCAGACGGGCUCCCCCUCGCGGGUUGGAGCCCGGCCCUGCCGCGGACCGUCCUCUGAAAAUCUCAGUGGGGGCAAUUGAAUACCGUCCGGAUGUCCAACGCGGUGCGCCGCCUGGUCGUCCCCGGUGAGUUUCUGUAACCGGGAACUCCUUCCGUUUAGCUACUUCCUGUCCCCUCC
rnacentral:misc_RNA from 1 species